UACGUAGGGUGCAAGCGUUUAAUCGGAAUUACUGGGCGUAAAGCGUGCGCAGGCGGUUUUGUAAGUCUGUCGUGAAAUCCCCGGGCUCAACCUGGGAACUGCAUUUGUGACUGCAUAGCUAGAGUACGGUAGAGGGGGAUGGAAUUCCGCGUGUAGCAGUGAAAUGCGUAGAUAUGCGGAGGAACACCGAUGGCGAAGGCAAUCCCCUGGACCUGUACUGACGCUCAUGCACGAAAGCGUGGGGAGCAAACAGG
rnacentral:rRNA from 1 species